AACGAACGCUGGCGGCAUGCCUAACACAUGCCAGUCGAACGAGACCUUCGGGUCUAGUGGCGCACGGGUGCGUAACGCGUGGGAACCUGCCCUUAGGUUCGGAAUAACUCCCCGAAAGGGGUGCUAAUACCGGCUAAUGUCUUCGGACCAAAGAUUUAUCGCCUUUGGAUGGGCCCGCGUUGGAUUAGCUAGUUGGUAGGGUAAAAGCCUACCACGGCGACGAUCCAUAGCUGGUCUGAGAGGAUGAUCAGCCACACUGGGACUGAGACACGGCCCAGACUCCUACGGGACGCAGCAGUGAAGAAUAUGAGACAAUGGGCGAAAGCCUGAGCCAGCAAUGCCGCGUGAGUGAUGAAGGCCUUAGGGUUGUAAAGCUCUUUUACCCGGGAUGAUAAUGACAGUACCGGGAGAAUAAGCUCCGGCUAACUCCGUG
rnacentral:rRNA from 1 species